rnacentral:rRNA from 1 species
CUACGGGAUUCUGCAGUGGGGAAUAUUGCGCAAUGGGCGAAAGCCUGACGCAGCAACGCCGCGUGAGGGAUGAAGGCCUUCGGGUUGUAAACCUCUUUCAGCAGGGAAGAAGCGAAAGUGACGGUACCUGCAGAAGAAGCACCGGCUAACUACGUGCCAGCAGCCGCGGUAAUACGUAGGGUGCAAGCGUUGUCCGGAUUUAUUGGGCGUAAAGAGCUCGUAGGCGGUUAGUCACGUCGGAUGUGAAAAGCCAAGGCUUAACCUUGGACCCGCAUUCGAUACGGGCUGACUAGAGUGUUGUAGGGGAGACUGGAACUCCUGGUGUAGCGGUGAAAUGCGCAGAUAUCAGGAAGAACACCGAUGGCGAAGGCAGGUCUCUGGGCAACUACUGACGCUGAGGAGCGAAAGCGUGGGGAGCAAACAGGAUUAGAUACCCCCGUAGUC